rnacentral:snRNA from 1 species
GUGCUCACUUCAGCAGUGCAUAUACUAAAAUUGGAAUGAUACAGAAAAGAUUAGCAUGGCCCCUGAACA